AGCGCAUGUCUUAUCAAGGAAUAUCAGAUACACGAGUUGUCUAGCAUUGUGUUCUUCUUAAUUGUGUUGCAGUUGUUAAGUAACUGGUUCAAAGUUCACGCGCACACAUUUACUGCACAGAACCACCGUCCAUCCAAGAACAAGUCCGGUACUCGGCAGAGAUAUUUAUACGGACAAGGAAUGUUAGCGCGCAAAGCUCCCUUACCUAUUGUCAGGUCUCUUCCUGACUGGAACGUUAUACACCCUAUCCUUGUACCAGAGCACCAAAGCCAAAGGAUUAUUCACUUUUGUCGUAGACGGUCUCAGGAGAAAGUAUCCGUCUUGAGGAUUACUAUUUCACGAAUCAAUAAAAUCACUGGUCCGGAAAAUCUUCGAGUUAUCCAGAAUAGAGUCCUCUGAUAAAUCGUGGAUCACGACUGGAUCGGAUCACGAUUCGAAGGUGUGUCUCGGGAAGAUGAUUCGUAGAGAAGAACCGUUAGACCGUGACACGGAGCUUCGGGAUUCUACUUGGUCACGGGAACAAGUUCACGCUGUUCCACCAUUUUUCACGAAGAAAUAAGACACGUCUGAUAUUUCGUUCUCUUACCAUAUCAAUGGACGCGUGAGAUCACUCUUCCACAACGCCAGCUUCCCUUCCGUCAAGUGCUGGAAUAAUUACAAUUAAUUAAGAAGAGUAUAAGAGAGCACGCGCCGGUUGGAAACGAAAUAACGACACGAAUUAUGAAUGAAACCGCUCGACGCUCGCUGCAUUGUACACGCAUUUUCUCUUUAUUCAACAGGCUAGAUAUUUCUUUUUCUUUGCAUUGUACGAUUUAAAAAAAAAGUGUAAACUAAUAUUCGAGUUUCUAUUAAUUGGAGUAUUAAUUGGCGAAACGCGAAACACCUACAGUAUAUGGUAAAAAAUUAAUUACAGAUGAUCUUUUGAUAUCGAGAUAUCGAGAUUUGUUAAUGUAGCGAAUAAUUUGAAAUUUAAAUAUCUAUAUGUAUCUGUAUCUAUAUAAUAUGUAUAUACCUGUGUCAAAUAUCUUGCAAUUUCUAAAUGUAUACAUGUACAUCCAGAUUUAUUUCAAACUUUGGUAAUAUGAUCAUGACAGACAUGAUGAAGUUUCAAAAUGUUUAAAAAACGUACAUGUGCAAUAUAUUCGUAAAAUAUUUUUACAAGUCAACCACUACAAAUGUCUUUCGCUUAUUUUUUUCAACAAUCGUCUCUAUGAAAAAAAGUUUUGGUGAUAUCUUCUUUAUUUGCAUUUUACUGAGACGCGAUAAUCUUAAUCGAUUAAAAGUUAAUUUGAUUUGAGGAUUUAAAAGUUCGUGAUAAACGAACUCAUUAUGUUUAUAAACGUUUAUACAUCAAUCCGUAUAAGUAGUUAUCGAUGUACCAUUGUAUCAACGUAGCUAUAGAUGGCACAGAUGUUAAUCAACGAGGCGUGAAUGAAAAGAAAAGAAAAGAAACUGUAUAGGAAGACCUUCCUUACCAGCAGCUCGUCGCCAUCGACCUGCCGUUUUGUGAUGGCUUUACAGCACUCCUGCAGGCCAUUCUGCAAAAACAAGGAUAACUCGUUCUAUCAAACAGAACGUGCAUCGCUGAUAAAGCGAUAAGCAGCACACAUGUAUCUUGUGCAAAUAUUUACAUCGCGACGAUAAAGCAAACCAGUUAAAUAUACAGAGCGUAUCCUCUUUUUUCAUUUUCUUAAACCACCAUUUUUCACAUAUUUCCGAUAAUAUAUCAAGGAAAUGUUUACAAAAUGUUUGCAAAAAUUAGUCAGUUUUCCGUCUGUUACACAUUUUCAAAAUUUCUUUUUUCGAGAAAAAGUCAAGGCCACCUUUCUUCAAAUCUAAAAUAUAUGAUGCCAUUUUAAAAGGGUCAAGGUGAUUGACCUUGAUUUUUUAUUGAAACAAACAUUUUUGAAGAAUUGUUAAUAACCAAAUGUGUGACAGAUCGGAAACUGACUAUCUUUUCUUCAAAACAUUUCUUUACAAAUGAACAGAAUAUGAACAGAAUAAUGAACAGAAAUAGCUGAAAAAUAUUUAAUCUUAUAAUUAGAGGAUGCACUCUAUAUGCAAACUAUCGUUACUUUAUUGUUUGUGCGUUAUUGUACUACUGUUUGAAUUGACUAAAAUCGAUACGACAUAUUUCUCAGAAUUUUACCAAGUUUAGUCUUGUACACGUGUAUAUGACAGCUUAAAUUCUUCGAUCAUGUUAAUUCUAGCGUUGCAUCUAUUGAAUCUUCUAUUGAAAUAAACGCGUGUCCUACGUUGUCUGGCUUCAGCUUUUGAAUUUAUCGCGCGAAGUUCAAUGAAAUAUAAUAUAAUAGAUACGUGUACGCGAUGUUCGUUCUAUUAAUUUCCUUCGUUUUCCUCGUAAGUGAUACAUUUUUGAGAAAGUUAGAGAAAGCAAGUUUCACUACUUUUUGUACGUGAUACGACGAAUAGAUUUUUUAAUAUCCUAUUAUUUUCAUGCAAUAGAAAAACCAUAAAUAUUUUAAAAUUGACAA